rnacentral:rRNA from 1 species
ACGGUACAGGAAGCGCUGCUUAUUCGCUGACGAGUGGCGGACGGGUGAGAUAAUGUCUGGGAAACUGCCUGAUGGAGGGGGAUAACUACUGGAAACGGUAGCUAAUACCGCAUAACGUCGCAAGACCAAAGAGGGGGACCUUCGGGCCUCUUGCCAUCGGAUGUGCCCAGAUGGGAUUAGCUAGUAGGUGGGGUAACGGCUCACCUAGGCGACGAUCCCUAGCUGGUCUGAGAGGAUGACCAGCCACACUGGAACUGAGACACGGUCCAGACUCCUACGGGAGGCAGCAGUGGGGAAUAUUGCACAAUGGGCGCAAGCCUGAUGCAGCCAUGCCGCGUGUAUGAAGAAGGCCUUCGGGUUGUAAAGUACUUUCAGCGGGGAGGAAGGCGAUAAGGUUAAUAACCUUGUCGAUUGACGUUACCCGCAGA